rnacentral:tmRNA from 1 species
GGGGGUGACAGGUUUCGACCUAGACCGUCGAAUCGUUAGCGGCAUGUGGAGGUUGCUGGGAGGCCUCCUUAAACACCUGGCAAAAAAAUAAACGCAAACUACAAUCCAGUAGCCGAGGCUGAGUCAAUCUUAGCCGAGGACGCGUUGAAUGUUCCCCAAUUUGCGGGAACAAGUCCAUUAGUAAGCGUUCUGGGAUACUAGUAGGACUUCGCUGAUGCAGAACCCCUUAAAGGCCUCGCUUUCAGGCCUUUUUGCGGUAGGAUAGAAAGCUGCUUCUGUUUAAAUCCUUUUUGUCGGAGCUAAACGGAAAAAGACAAAAGACAACAUAAACAUGUAGAGACUUUCGGUUUGGGAUUUAGGGACCCGAGUUCGAAUCUCGGCACCUCCACCA